ensembl:snoRNA small nucleolar RNA, C/D box 112
GUGAAAUAGGAAGAGAAAGUGUUGAUGAACAAAGGAUCGUGAUUAAUCCAGUUCUGCACAGAAAUACGGAGGUCCAUU